rnacentral:rRNA from 2 species
ACGGAAGGCAGCAGUGGGGAAUAUUGCACAAUGGGCGAAAGCCUGAUGCAGCGACGCCGCGUGAGUGAAGAAGUAUCUCGGUAUGUAAAGCUCUAUCAGCAGGGAAGAAAAUGACGGUACCUGACUAAGAAGCCCCGGCUAACUACGUGCCAGCAGCCGCGGUAAUACGUAGGGGGCAAGCGUUAUCCGGAUUUACUGGGUGUAAAGGGAGCGUAGACGGUUUGGCAAGUCUGAAGUGAAAUGCGGGGGCUCAGCUCCUGAACUGCUUUGGAAACUGUCGAACUAGAGUGCAGGAGAGGUAAGUGGAAUUCCUAGUGUAGCGGUGAAAUGCGUAGAUAUUAGGAGGAACACCAGUGGCGAAGGCGGCUUACUGGACUGUAACUGACGUUGAGGCUCGAAAGCGUGGGGAGCAAACAGGAUUAGAUACCCUGGUA